GAUGAACGCUGGCGGCGUGCUUAACACAUGCAAGUCGAACGAAGCGCUUGAGAUUGAUUCUUCGGAUGAUUUCUCUUGCGACUUAGUGGCGGACGGGUGAGUAACGCGUGGGUAACCUGCCUCACACAGGGGGGAUAACAGUUGGAAACGACCGCUAAAUACCGCAUAACCCGCUAGGGCCGCAUGGCCUGGACGGAAAAGAUUUAUCGGUGUGAGAUGGACCCGCGUUGGAUUAGCUAGUUGGCAGGGUAACGGCCUACCAAGGCGACGAUCCAUAGCCGGCCUGAGAGGGUGAACGGCCACAUUGGGACUGAGACACGGGCCCAAAACUCCUACGGGAGGCAGCAGUGGGGAAUAUUGGCACAAUGGGGGAAACCCUGAUGCAGCGACGCCGCGUGAGUG
rnacentral:rRNA from 1 species